ACAAAUGUUCUUGUAGUGCUGAAUUUAUCUAUUGCUUCUUUCCCGUUCUUUUGGUUUGUUCAUACUUUCUCUCAUUUGGAUCAUUGUACCUAUCAUUUUGACAGCUGGUUUUUAUAUUUGCUGGGGAUGCCUUGUAUGGGUGCCUUCUAUAUAUACUUCUCCUGGCAUGUACCUGGUCAAUCAUCCUGUACACCUUGGAACUCAGUUGGCACUCUACAUCCUAGUAGCAGGCAUUCUUUGCAUAUACAUCAACUACGACUGUGAUAGGCAAAGGCAAGAGUUUCGCAGAACAAAUGGCAAAGCUUUGGUUUGGGGUAAUGCUCCAUCAAAGAUAACUGCCACUUACACUACCACAACUGGGGAAACAAAAAGCAGCAUUCUUUUAACUUCAGGAUG